rnacentral:rRNA from 1 species
AUUGAACGCUGGCGGCAGGCCUAACACAUGCAAGUCGAGCGGGGUUUUCGGACCUAGCGGCGGACGGGUGAGUAAUGCGUAGGAAGCUACCCGAUAGAGGGGGAUACCAGUUGGAAACGACUGUUAAUACCGCAUAAUGUCUACGGACCAAAGUGUGGGACCUUCGGGCCACAUGCUAUCGGAUGCGCCUACGUGGGAUUAGCUAGUUGGUGGGGUAAUGGCUCACCAAGGCGACGAUCCCUAGCCGGUUUGAGAGGAUGAUCAGCCACACUGGAACUGAGACACGGUCCAGACUCCGACGGGAGGCAGCAGUGGGGAAUAUUGGACAACGGGCGCAAGCCUGAUCCAGCCAUGCCGGGUGUGUGAAGAAGGCCUUCGGGUUGUAAAGCACUUUCAGUAGGGAGGAAGCGUUGUGUGUUAAUAGUACACAGCGUUGACGUUACCUACAGAAGAAGCACCGGCUAACUCUGUGCCAGCCGCCGCGGUAA